rnacentral:SRP_RNA from 1 species
AGUCGGGGGAGCAGCGGUCCCCUGUAUCGGAAGUCCGCUAUACGCCGAGAUGAUGCCCUGGCCGAGGAUUUGAAGCAAAGGCGAGCCCUUUUUGUGCGGUGUUGAGAUCUGGGUCCUGCGCGGCGGGAACCCGCGAACCGUGUCAGGUUGGGAACAAAGCAGCACUAAACGGGAGCUUCCGGGUGCCGCAGGGUCGCCUGGGUUGAGCUGUUGCAUUAAGUAAGCUCUUCUUUGCCGAGGUUCG